rnacentral:rRNA from 1 species
CCUACGGGUGGCAGCAGUGAGGAAUAUUGGUCAAUGGACGAGAGUCUGAACCAGCCAAGUAGCGUGAAGGAUGACUGCCCUAUGGGUUGUAAACUUCUUUUAUAUGGCAAUAAAAUGUUCCACGUGUGGGAUUUUGUAUGUACCAUAUGAAUAAGGAUCGGCUAACUCCGUGCCAGCAGCCGCGGUAAUACGGAGGAUCCGAGCGUUAUCCGGAUUUAUUGGGUUUAAAGGGGGCGUAGGUGGAUUGUUAAGUCAGUUGUGAAAGUUUGCGGCUCAACCGUAAAAUUGCAGUUGAAACUGGCAGUCUUGAGUACAGUAGAGGUGGGCGGAAUUCGUGGUGUAGCGGUGAAAUGCUUAGAUAUCACGAAGAACUCCGAUUGCGAAGGCAGUUCACUGGACUGCAACUGACACUGAGGCUCGAAAGUGUGGGUAUCAAACAGGAUUAGAUACCCUUGUAGUC